rnacentral:tRNA from 1 species
GCGGGUAUAGCUCAGUGGUAGAGAGACUGCGUAGCAUGCUCAAGGUCCUGAGUUCAAUCCUCAGUGCCUUCA